rnacentral:rRNA from 1 species
UUUUGUUUUUAAAGACCUCCUAAAAAAAGGUAUGCUUAAAGAGGGGCUUGCGCCACAUUAGUUUGUUGGUAAGGUAAUGGCUUACCAAGACUAUGAUGUGUAGCUGGACUGAGAGGUUGAACAGCCACAUUGGGACUGAGACACGGCCCAAACUCCUACGGGAGGCAGCAGUAGGGAAUUUUCGGCAAUGGAGGAAACUCUGACCGAGCAAUGCCGCGUGAACGAUGAAGUAUUUCGGUAUGUAAAGUUCUUUUAUUGAAGAAGAAAAAUAGUGGAAAAACUAUCUUGACGCUAUUCAAUGAAUAAGCCCCGGCUAACUAUGUGCCAGCAGCCGCGGUAAGACAUAGGGGGCGAGCGUUAUCCGGAAUUAUUGGGCGUAAAGGGUGCGUAGGCGGUUAGUUAAGUCUAUAAUUUAAUUUCAACGCUUAACGUUGUUUUGUUAUAGAAACUGCCUAACUAGAGUGAGAUAGAGGCAAGUGGAAUUCCAUGUGUAGCGGUAAAAUGUGUAAAUAUAUGGAGGAACACCAGAAGCGUAGGCGGCUUGCUGGGUCUUUACUGACGCUGAGGCACGAAAGCGUGGGUAGCAAACAGGAUUAGAUACCCUGGUAGUCCACGCCGUAAACGAUGAGUACUAAGUGUCAGGGUAAAACUUGGUACUGAAGUUAACACAUUAAGUACUCCGCCUGAGUAGUACGUACGCAAGUAUGAAACUUAAAGGAAUUGACGGGACUCCGCACAAGCGGUGGAUCAUGUUGUUUAAUUCGAAGAUACACGAAAAACCUUACCAGGUCUUGACAUACUCUGCAAAGUUAUAGAAAUAUAAUGGAGGUUAUCAGGGAUACAGGUGGUGCAUGGUUGUCGUCAGCUCGUGUCGUGAGAUGUUAGGUUAAGUCCUAAAACGAGCGCAACCCUUGUCGUUAGUUACCAGCACGUAAAGGUGGGGACUUUAGCGAGACUGCCAAUUAAAAAUUGGAGGAAGGUGAGGAUUACGUCAAAUCAUCAUGCCCCUUAUGAUCUGGGCUACAAACGUGAUACAAUGGCUGUUACAAAGAGUAGCUGAAACGUGAGUUUUUAGCCAAUCUCAAAAAAGCAGUCUCAGUUCGGAUUGAAGUCUGCAACUCGACUUCAUGAAGUUGGAAUCGCUAGUAAUCGCGAAUCA